GAUGAACGCUGGCGGCGUGCUUAACACAUGCAAGUCGAACGGAAAGGCUCCUGCUUGCAGGGGUACUCGAGUGGCGAACGGGUGAGUAACACGUGGGUGAUCUGCCCAGCACUUCGGGAUAAGCCUGGGAAACUGGGUCUAAUACCGGAUAGGACGAUGGUUUGGAUGCCAUUGUGGAAAGUUUUUUCGGUGUGGGAUGAGCUCGCGGCCUAUCAGCUUGUUGGUGGGGUAAUGGCCUACCAAGGCGUCGACGGGUAGCCGGCCUGAGAGGGUGUACGGCCACAUUGGGACUGAGAUACGGCCCAGACUCCUACGGGAGGCAGCAGUGGGGAAUAUUGCACAAUGGGCGCAAGCCUGAUGCAGCGACGCCGCGUGGGGGAUGACGGCCUUCGGGUUGUAAACUCCUUUCGCUAGGGACGAAGCGCAAGUGACGGUACCUGGAGAAGAAGCACCGGCUAACUACGUG
rnacentral:rRNA from 1 species